GAUGAACGCUGGCGGUGCGCCUAAUACAUGCAAGUCGAACGUGAUCCACGCCGUAGUUUACUACAUGUGGUGAAAGUGGCGGACGAGCGAGUAACACGUACGUAGUUGCCCCAUACUCAGGGAUAACCUAUCGAAAGGUAGGCUAAUACCGGAUAGUCUCGUAAGAGUAAAGCUUUUGCGGUAUGGGAGACGCGUGCGGCCUAUCAGCUAGUUGGUGAGGUAACUGCUCACCAAGGCUAUGACGGGUAGCUGGUCUGAGAGGAUGAUCAGCCGCGAUGGAACUGAGACACGGUCCAUACUCCUACGGGAGGCAGCAGUAAGGAAUCUUCCGCAAUGGACGAAAGUCUGACGGAGCGACACCGCGUGGAGGAUGACUGCCCUAUGGGUUGUAAACUCCUUUUAUGAGGGAAGAAGAUCUGACGGUACCUCAUGAAUAAGCCCCGGCUAAUUACG
rnacentral:rRNA from 1 species